rnacentral:rRNA from 1 species
AUUGAACGCUGGCGGCAUGCCUUACACAUGCAAGUCGAACGGUAACGGGCCUUCGGGUGCCGACGAGUGGCGAACGGGUGAGUAAUGUAUCGGAACGUACCUUUCAGUGGGGGAUAACGUAGCGAAAGUUACGCUAAUACCGCAUAUUCUGUGAGCAGGAAAGCAGGGGAUCGCAAGACCUUGCGCUGAUUGAGCGGCCGAUAGCAGAUUAGCUAGUUGGUGAGGUAAAGGCUCAACAAGGCGACGAUCUGUCGCGGGUCUGAGAGGAUGAUCAGACACACUGGACCUGAGACACGGUCCAGAGUCCUACGGGAGGAAGGAGUGGGGAAUUUUGGACAAUGGGGGCAACCUUGAUCCAGCCAGGCCGCGUGAGUGAAGAAGGCCUUCGGGUUGUAAAGCUCUUUCGGCCGGGAAGAAAUCGUAUCAGCUAAUACCUGGUGCGGAUGACGGUACCGGCAUAAGAAGCACCGGCUAACUACGUGCCAGCCGCCGCAGUAACAC